rnacentral:rRNA from 1 species
GGAGUUAGCCGGUGCUUCUUCUGUGAGUGAUGUCCUUCCUGCCGGCUAUUAACCCGCAGGCCUUCUUCCUCACUGAAAGUGCUUUACAACCCGAAGGCCUUCUUCACACACGCGGCAUGGCUGGAUCAGGGUUGCCCCCAUUGUCCAAUAUUCCCCACUGCUGCCUCCCGUAGGAGUCUGGGCCGUGUCUCAGUCCCAGUGUGGCUGAUCAUCCUCUCAGACCAGCUACGGAUCGUCGCCUUGGUGAGCCGUUACCUCACCAACCAGCUAAUCCGACAUAGGCUCAUCCGAUAGCGCGAGGCCCGAAGGUCCCCCGCUUUCCCCCGUAGGGCGUAUGCGGUAUUAGCCUGGGUUUCCCCAGGUUAUCCCCCACUACCGGGCAGAUUCCUAUGCAUUACUCACCCGUCCGCCGCUCGCCACCAGGGAGCAAGCUCCCCGUGCUGCCGCUCGACUUGCAUGUGUAGGCCGUCGCCGCCACGCGUCAUCUGAGCCAGAGACUACAACUACUACGUACGUAGACGGCGGUCGGUCGGACGGACGGCG